GUGGGGCAUGGUGGCACACACCUGCAGCCCCAGCUACUCACGAGGCUGAUGCAGGAGGAAAGCUUGAGCCCAGGAACUCUGGGCUUUGCAGGUUGGGUAUUCCCACUAAAUUCGGCAUCAGUAUGGUGACCUCCUGGGAGUGGCAGAACAUCAAGUUGCCUAAGGAGAGGUACACAGGACCAGGAUGGAAAUGAAGCGGCAUAAAAUUCCAUGCUGAUUAUAGUGGGAUCAUGCCUGUGAGGACCCACUGCACUACAGCCGGGGCAGCAGAGUGAGACCUGUUUCUG
ensembl:misc_RNA Metazoa_SRP Metazoan signal recognition particle RNA